rnacentral:rRNA from 1 species
GACGACCGCUGGCGGCGUGCUUAACACAUGCAAGUCGAACGGAAAGGCCCUGCUUUUGUGGGGUGCUCGAGUGGCGAACGGGUGAGUAACACGUGAGUAACCUGCCCUUGACUUUGGGAUAACUUCAGGAAACUGGGGCUAAUACCGGAUAGGAGCUCCUGCUGCAUGGUGGGGGCUGGAAAGUUUCGGCGGUUGGGGAUGGACUCGCGGCUUAUCAGCUUGUUGGUGGGGUAGUGGCUUACCAAGGCUUUGACGGGUAGCCGGCCUGAGAGGGUGACCGGCCACAUUGGGACUGAGAUACGGCCCAGACUCCUACGGGAGGCAGCAGUGGGGAAUAUUGCACAAUGGGCGGAAGCCUGAUGCAGCAACGCCGCGUGCGGGAUGACGGCCUUCGGGUUGUAAACCGCUUUCGCCUGUGACGAAGCGUGAGUGACGGUAAUGGGUAAAGAAGCACCGGCUAACUACGUG